UCUACGGGGGGCAGCAGUGGGGAAUAUUGGACAAUGGGCGAAAGCCUGAUCCAGCCAUGCCGCGUGUGUGAAGAAGGCCUUCGGGUUGUAAAGCACUUUCAGUGGGGAAGAAAGCCUUGGGGCUAAUACCCUCGAGGAAGGACAUCACCCACAGAAGAAGCACCGGCUAACUCCGUGCCAGCAGCCGCGGUAAUACGGAGGGUGCGAGCGUUAAUCGGAAUUACUGGGCGUAAAGCGCGCGUAGGCGGUCUGAUAAGCCGGUUGUGAAAGCCCCGGGCUCAACCUGGGAACGGCAUCCGGAACUGUCAGGCUAGAGUGCAGGAGAGGAAGGUAGAAUUCCCGGUGUAGCGGUGAAAUGCGUAGAGAUCGGGAGGAAUACCAGUGGCGAAGGCGGCCUUCUGGACUGACACUGACGCUGAGGUGCGAAAGCGUGGGUAGCAAACAGGAUUAGAUACCCUAGUAGUC
rnacentral:rRNA from 1 species